rnacentral:miRNA from 1 species
UAGUUCUGCAAUGUAUACAUUGCAGUUUCUCUAAAACUGCAAUGUUUUACAUUGCACCACUA